GAUAGAAGGGCCACUACCACAACUACCAAUAGUCUUAACUAUAAAUCUCUUGAAGAAUUGGAUAUACGUGGUGGAUGCCAAACUCUGUUAUCAUUAUUAGAGACAAAGCUCCUGCCCAACUGCAAUCGUCUUCAACGUUUGACUCUUUGGAAUUGUCCAACGCUGUCAUCGUUUCCCAAAGAUGGCCUACCCACUACAUUGACAUUACUUUAUAUAAACAAUUGUAGGAAAUUAGAAUUCCCACCUCAUGAGAUGUUGGCCAAAUUAACAUCGCUUGACAAUUUGUGCAUUCAAAAUAGCUGUGAUUCAAUGAGGUCCUUCCCGUUGGGCAUUUUUCCCAAAUUGACGACGCUUGGAAUUCAUGAUUGUGAGAAUCUGGAAUCUUUUUCCUUGAUUGAAGAAGAAGGAGCUGUUGAGAAUCUCAGCCAUCUCAAUUCCUUGCAAGUCUAUAACUGUCCAAAAAUGGUGUGUUUUCACGAGGGAGAAUUGCCCACUCCCAACCUGAGUUGCUUUCUAGUCUGUGGUUGCAAGAAUUUGAAGUCAUUGCCCGAACGCCUUCACACCCUCACUGCCCUUCGAUCUUUGUCGAUAUGGAAUCUUCCGAAUCUGGAGUCAUUUGCAGAAGAUGGGGGUUUGCCUCCCAACCUCCGAUCUUUUAGCAUUGGGAAUUGUAAGAGACUGAGGGCUUCAUCAGUGGGAGAGUACUGGGGUUUGCAAGCACUUGACUCCCUUGAGAUCGGUGGAAGUGACCAUGUCUUGGAGACGUUGCUGCUCCCUACCACUCUUCACACUCUCCGCAUCUAUUCUCUAUCAACUCUGAAAUCUUUGGACGGAAAGGGUCUUGGACACCUCACUUCUCUUCAAGGGCUACACAUUGACAGCUGUCCCAGUCUGGAAUUCCUGCCAGGAGAGGAACUUCAACACCUCACUUCUCUUCAAACUCUAAUUAUUAGUUCGUGUGACAGUCUCCAAUGCCUGCCAGAAGAGGGUUUGCCGCCAUCUCUUUCUCAUCUGAGUAUCCGCCGGUGUCCUGCCCUGGAGAAAAGGUAUAAGAAUAAGACGGGACAAGAUUGGGCCAAGAUAUCUCACAUUCCUUGCAUCAAGAUAGGCAACGAAGUGAUCAUAUAAUAUGAGCUAUUCCAUAUUUCACGCUCAACCCUCAACUCUCAAAUCAAAGUCAGGUGAGUCUUUUUGCAGGACGACAUACCUUCUCUUGGCCCUUGGGGAGCUUUUCAAAAUUUGCAAGGUUUCUUUAUGUGGCAUUUCCAGAGGAGGGUCACAGGGCGGAGAAACAGAAAAGGUUUACCUGGAAUAUCUCAAUUGAUACAUUCCUGCAUAUAGGCAUCAAAUGUACACCAUUUUUAGAAGCCUACUUUUGUCCGAGUCAGUAGAUGCCAGAAUGAAGUCAUUGCCUAAACACAUUGGCACCCUCACAGCCUUCGACAUUUUGGGAUAUAUGAUCUUCAAAAUCUUGUGUCAUUUGCCUCCCAAGCUGCAAUAUUUUCAUAUUUUAAAUUGUGACAGACUGAGCCCUUUGGUGGGAGAUUACUGGGGUUUGCAAGGACUUGGUGGCAAUAUCUUGUGGACGUUUCUCAAGGAACAGCUGCUCAAUACCACUCUUCGCACUCUAUAUAUUAUGGCCUGUCAGUCUAUAAUUCCUGCCAGGAGAGGAACUUGAACGCCUCUCUUCACUGCAAAGGCUACAUAUUUGUGGGUGUGACAAUAUCCAAUUCCUGCCAGAAGAGCGUUUGCUGCCAUCUCUUUCUUAUCUGUGCAUCGACCAUUGUUUUGCCAUGUAGAAAAGGUAUCUCACAUUCCUUGCGUCAAGAUAGGUGAAGAAGUGAUCAUAAGAUAUGAGCUCUCUCUCCCUCUCGCUCACAUACAAAUCUUUUCGCAGGACAACAUAUCUUCUCUUGGAGAGAUAUUCAUUUGCAAGGUUUCUUUAUGUGUCAUUUCCAGAGGAGGGUUUACUAUUUAAUAGAAAGGUUCACCUGGAAUAUCUCAACUGACACAUUCCCAAAUACAGGCAUUGAAUGCACAACAUUUUGAGGUUUUACUUAUCUUGAACUGCAGAAGCCUACUUUUUGACAUAGGUGCACAAACUCGCAUCCGCAUUUCCUUCCCCAUUGGCAUGCUGUCUCAUCUUUUCUAUUCUGUUACCAGCUUGAAGCUUGUGUAGACAUGUAAUUCUGAUCACAAUCAUCACUUGACAAAUGGAAAGUCACAAUCAGAUCUUUCAGGAACAGACCAAACACGUUCAUACGUGGCAUUGCUCAAGUCAUCAUCAUUCGGGACAGAGAAUAAGCCUUCAAAUGUCUGCUGAGUCAUGAACCUUUCUAGAUAUCUCAAGUGUAAUGGAAAUUGAUGAGUUACAAAGGAUUUGUAAACAUUUUCUACUGGAGGCUAGAAAUGCUUCAAAUAAAUGACUCUGUUGAGAUUAUUUUGUAGGAUCAAAGACUCUGCAAAGAGUUUGUUGAUCUUGGGCAAGUGGAGAGAGAGGCGUCAAGUGAUACACAACAACCAUUUUCUGUGAGCUGAUUUGAUAAAGAGAAAUGGUAUGCUUUCUUGUCUUAAGCUGUGUGUUCUGCAAUUAUUUGAAACAAAGAGUGCCGCGCUUCAAGUUCGAGAAAAACAGGAAAAAAUGGCAGCAGCUUUGAUUGGAGAGGCUCUCAUCUCUGCUUCUAUCGAGGUGUUGUGUGACAGAGUUACUUCAGCCGAGUUCAUAGACUUAUUUCACCAGAAGAAACUUGAUGAAACACUCCUCAUGAACCUGAAGACGACACUGUUGAUUUUGUUUGCGGUGCUCAGUGAUGCAGAGGAGAAGCAAACUGUGAACCCUGCUGUGAGAGAGUGGCUUAACAGCUCAAGCAUGCUGUCUUUGAUGCAGAGGACUUACUUGAUGAGAUUGACACUGAAGCAUUGCGAUGCAAGCUGGAAGGAACAGACCAAAUAUGUUCACACGUGGCAUCGUUCAAGUCAUCAUCAUUUCAGACAAAAUCAGCCUUCAAGUGUCUGCUGAGUCAAUGAACCUUUCUAGAUAUAUCAAGUGCAAUGGAAAUUCAAGAGUUACAUAGAGAUUUGUAAACAUUUUGAAGAUUGCAACACCUGCAAGUGAGAUAGGUGGUGACGAAAUCAGAGCUGAUCUUGAAGCCUCUGAUGCCCCCCCUUGUUGCAAGUUGCACCUGAGAACGUGUUUUUUUUUGGGUAAAAAACCGGAAACAUGUUCGGGGCUGGCAAUUCAAUCCCUGAUGAACUUGAGAAGCAAAGCUCCAGUAAGGAAAUUGGUCGAGGUCAUGACAGGGAUAAUUGAUGGUGAAAUGGAUGCUAUUUCUUAUUGCAGCCUGUUCUCAAAGUUCUUGUUGGCAAAAGCAAGAGAUGGAGUAUUUUGAUUGGGAGGAGAGAUAAUGACAUGUGUUGACAAUUCUAGAACAGCCCAUCUGAGUUCUUUUGUCAGGCUGCAUCAUUUAAUCCCAGCAAAAAUCCAGUUUUUGCUAAACAAUCAAAUUGUACACAUUUUUUCUUUUCGAGGAAUUUAACAUUACACAUUUUUUCAUUUUUUCAUCAAACAGUUUUCUAAUGCAUUUGUUGUAACAAGUUACAAUCAGGAAUUUGGAUUGAGUUUCUUGUGUUAA